AGUGAACGCUGGCGGUAGGCCUAACACAUGCAAGUCGAACGGCAGCACAGUAAGAGCUUGCUCUUACGGGUGGCGAGUGGCGGACGGGUGAGGAAUACAUCGGAAUCUACUUUUUCGUGGGGGAUAACGUAGGGAAACUUACGCUAAUACCGCAUACGACCUACGGGUGAAAUCAGGGGAUCUUCGGACCUUGCGCGAUUGAAUUAGCCGAUGUCGGAUUAGCUAGUUGGCGGGGUAAAGGCCCACCAAGGCGACGAUCCGUAGCUGGUCUGAGAGGAUGAUCAGCCACACUGGAACUGAGACACGGUCCAGACUCCUACGGGAGGCAGCAGUGGGGAAUAUUGGACAAUGGGCGCAAGCCUGAUCCAGCCAUACCGCGUGAGUGAAGAAGGCCUUCGGGUUGUAAAGCCCUUUUGUUGGGAAAGAAAAGCAGCAGGUUAAUACCCCGCUGUUCUGACGGUACCCAAAGAAUAAGCACCGGCUAACUUCGUG
rnacentral:rRNA from 1 species